UUUUGGAGGAAAGCAGGGGAUCGNAAGACCUUGCGCUUUUGGAGCGGCCGAUGUCUGAUUAGCUAGUUGGUGAGGUAAAGGCUUACCAAGGCGUCGAUCAGUAGCUGGUCUGAGAGGACGACCAGCCACACUGGGACUGAGACACGGCCCAGACUCCUACGGGAGGCAGCAGUGGGGAAUUUUGGACAAUGGGGGAAACCCUGAUCCAGCCAUGCCGCGUGAGUGAAGAAGGCCUUCGGGUUGUAAAGCUCUUUCAGCCGGAACGAAACGGUCACAGCUAAUACCCGUGACUACUGACGGUACCGGAAGAAGAAGCACCGGCUAACUACGUGCCAGCAGCCGCGGUAAUACGUAGGGUGCAAGCGUUAAUCGGAAUUACUGGGCGUAAAGCGUGCGCAGGCGGUUUUGUAAGUCAGAU
rnacentral:rRNA from 1 species